rfam:Aedes aegypti strain Liverpool supercont1.912 genomic scaffold, whole genome shotgun sequence.
CAAACGGCCCUUUUAAGGGCUACCGAAUUUUUCAAGAAGAGUUAUU